rnacentral:rRNA from 1 species
AUACGUAGGUGGCGAGCGUUGUCCGGAAUGAUUGGGCGUAAAGGGCGCGUAGGCGGCCCGGUAAGUCUGGAGUGAAAGUCCUGUUUUUAAGAUGGGAAUUGCUUUGGAUACUGUCGGGCUUGAGUGCAGGAGAGGUAAGUGGAAUUCCCAGUGUAGCGGUGAAAUGCGUAGAGAUUGGGAGGAACACCAGUGGCGAAGGCGACUUACUGGACUGUAACUGACGCUGAGGCGCGAAAGUGUGGGGAGCAAACAGGAUUAGAUACCCUGGUAGUCCACACUGUAAACGAUGAAUGCUAGGUGUAGGGGGUAUCGACCCCUUCUGUGCCGCAGUCAACACAAUAAGCAUUCCGCCUGGGGAGUACGGCCGCAAGGUUGAAACUCAAAUGAAUUGGCGGGG